GUCAGGCGUAGUGACUCAUGCCUGUAAUCCAAGCACUUUGGAGGCCAAGGCGGGCGGAUCACCUGAGGUCGGGAGUUCAGGUGAUACAAGCAAUACUGGCUUUUCUCCUUGGGGUUCUUCUCUUGAGGAAAGGCAGGUAUUUGAGGCACUGAAGGAGGAAAAAGAGCCAGUAAUAAAUUGCCAGCCUGACCAACAUGGUGAAACCCCGUCUUUA
ensembl:misc_RNA Metazoa_SRP Metazoan signal recognition particle RNA